UCAGGUGACUGUGCUGGCUGAUGGGGGCUCUCUGAUCACUCUACUCCAAUAUUCCGCUUUCAACACAAGAGGUGUGAUUCCUACUUCAUGUCUACUUUACCAUAUAAAAAAGGCCAGAGAGAUGCUCGAGUAGAAUUCUGUCACAUGUGCCUGAGCAUCACUGUGCUUUACACAUAGGAAUGGAUAAAGGAUGGAGCAGAUGUGACAUUUCAGCAUGAUGUCUCCCGCACUCUAGGAGAUAGUUUGUAUUUUCCUAAAAAGAUCACCACUAAAAGAAUGGCUCCACCUGUCUCAGUCCAGACCUGAUGCUCAAUUCAAUAAAAGCAGCUCUGCAAGAGUACUGAUGACUUAAUGUGCUGCUUCUCACAGAAGAAUCCAGACAGCGGAAGUGGAAAGAGAUUCCUAUGAAUUGUAUCUAUACCCAUUUUUAUUUACUAGUGCUAAAGUCUUACCUAGACUUCACAACUUGACCAUGAUCAAAUAUUACUAAC